GUGCCAGCAGCCGCGGUAAUACGUAGGGUGCAAGCGUUGUCCGGAAUUAUUGGGCGUAAAGAGCUCGUAGGCGGUUUGUCGCGUCUGCUGUGAAAAUCCAAGGCUCAACCUUGGACCUGCAGUGGGUACGGGCAGACUAGAGUGCGGUAGGGGAGAUGGGAAUUCCUGGUGUAGCGGUGGAAUGCGCAGAUAUCAGGAGGAACACCAAUGGCGAAGGCACAUCUCUGGGCCGUAACUGACGCUGAGGAGCGAAAGCGUGGGGAGCGAACAGGAUUAGAUACCCUGGUAGUCCAUGCCGUAAACGGUGGGUGCUAGUUGUGGGCCACAUUCCACGUGGUCCGUGACGAAGUUAACACAUUAAGCACCCCGCCUGGGGAGUACGGUCGCAAGACUAAAACUCAAAGGAAUUGACGGGGGCCCGCACAAGCGGCGGAGCAUGCGGAUUAAUUCGAUGCAACGCGCAGAACCUUACC
rnacentral:rRNA from 1 species